CCUACGGGAGGCAGCAGUGAGGAAUAUUGGUCAAUGGGCGCUAGCCUGAACCAGCCAAGUAGCGUGAAGGAUGACUGCCCUAUGGGUUGUAAACUUCUUUUAUAUGGGAAUAAAGUGCAGCAUGUAUACUGCUUUGCAUGUACUUUAUGAAUAAGGAUCGGCUAACUCCGUUCCAGCAGCCGCGGUACUACGGAGGAUCCGAGCGUUAUCCGGAUUUAUUGGGUUUAAAGGGAGCGUAGGCGGGUUGUUAAGUCAGUUGUGAAAGUUUGCGGCUCAACCGUAAAAUUGCAGUUGAUACUGGCAUCCUUGAGUACAGUAGAGGUAGGCGGAAGUCGUGGUGUAGCGGUGAAAUGCUUAGAUAUCACGAAGAACUCCGAUUGCGAAGGCAGCCUGCUGGACUGUAACUGACGCUGAUGCUCGAAAGUGUGGGUAGCAAACAGGAUUAGAUACCCGAGUAGUC
rnacentral:rRNA from 1 species